rnacentral:rRNA from 1 species
GACGAACGCUGGCGGCGUGCUUAACACAUGCAAGUCGUACGGUAAGGCCCUUUCGGGGGUUCACGGGUGGCGAACGGGUGCGUAACACGUGAGUAACCUGACCACACCUUUGGGAUAACGCUAGGAAACUGGUACUAAUACUGGAUAUGUGCACCUGCUGCAUGGUGGGGGUUGGAAAGCUCCGGCGGUUGUGGAUGGAAUCGCGGCCUAUCAGCUUGUUGGUGGGGUAGUGGCGUACCGAGGCGGCGACGGGUAGCCGGCCUGAGGGGGUGACCGGCCACAUUGGGACUGAGAUACGGCCGAGACUCCGACGGGAGGGAGCAGGGGGGAAUAUUGCACAAGGGGCGCAAGCCUGAUGCAGCAACGCCGCGUGCGGGAUGACGGCCUUCGGGUUGUAAACCGCUUUCAGCAGGGACGAAGCUUUUUGUGACGGUACCUGCAGAAGAAGCACCGGCUAACUACGUG